UACGUAGGGGCCUAGCGUUGUCCGGAAUUAUUGGGCGUAAAGAGCUCGUAGGCGGUUCGGCAAGUCGGAUGUGAAAUCUCCACGCUUAACGUGGAGGGGCCAUUCGAAACUGCUGUGACUCGAGUCCGGUAGGGGAGAGUGGAAUUCCCAGUGUAGCGGUGAAAUGCGCAGAUAUUGGGAAGAACACCCGUGGCGAAGGCGGCUCUCUGGAACGCAACUGACGCUGAGACGCGAAAGCGUGGGGAGCAAACAGG
rnacentral:rRNA from 1 species